AGAGUUUGAUCAUGGCUCAGAUUGAACGCUGGCGGAAUGCUUUACACAUGCAAGUCGAGCGGCAGCGCGGGGGCAACCCUGGCGGCGAGCGGCGAACGGGUGAGUAACACAUCGGAACGUACCCAGUUGUGGGGGAUAGCUCGGCGAAAGCCGGAUUAAUACCGCAUAAGACCUGGGGGUGAAAGCGGGGGAUCGCAAGACCUCGCGCGAUUGGAGCGGCCGAUGUCGGAUUAGCUAGUUGGUAGGGUAAAGGCCUACCAAGGCGACGAUCCGUAGCUGGUCUGAGAGGACGACCAGCCACACUGGAACUGAGACACGGUCCAGACUCCUACGGGAGGCAGCAGUGGGGAAUUUUGGACAAUGGGGGCAACCCUGAUCCAGCCAUUCCGCGUGAGUGAAGAAGGCCUUCGGGUUGUAAAGCUCUUUCGGCAGGAACGAAACGGUCUUCUCUAACAUAGAAGGCUAAUGACGGUACCUGAAGAAGAAGCACCGGCUAACUACGUGCCAGCAGCCGCGGUGAUACGUAGGGUGCGAGCGUUAAUCGGAAUUACUGGGCGUAAAGCGUGCGUAGGCGGUUUUGUAAGACAGGUGUGAAAUCCCCGGGCUCAACCUGGGAACUGCGCUUGUGACUGCAAGACUUGAGUGCGGCAGAGGGGGGUGGAAUUCCACGUAGCAGUGAAAUGCGUAGAGAUGUGGAGGAACACCGAUGGCGAAGGCAGCCCCCUGGGUCGACACUGACGCUCAGGCACGAAAGCGUGGGUAGCAAACAGGAUUAGAUACCCUAGUAGUCC
rnacentral:rRNA from 1 species